ACAGAGCAGACGGCCGUCCUGCUGCUUCUUCUCUGUUCUCUUUCCACGGCCACCCGUCUGCCUCUGGGCCUGGAGCCAGAUGCUGCAUUCUAGAUGGAGACAGAAAAGGAGAGGUGGAGUGUGGCCCCGGAGCGUCAGCUGAGGGUGACCCUUUCCAGACUCGCAGGGCCCAGCGGACAUGGACCUGCUCUGGUGAUUCUAACGUCAGUGUCCAUAAUAAAGUGUUAUUGGGCCCAGCCUCCCACCAGCUACACCCGCAGAGGCUAAAAUGUUCCGUGUCACAGACCACGCCCUCUUCCGCUCCAGACACCCCGACUUCCUGUGUUGGGCUUGCAUGGAAGGCUGGGGCAGAGCCCGACGAGGCUAGGAAGCCAAGCAUCCUUGGUUCUCCAGGUCCUCCUGGCAGAAGAGAGAUGAUGGAUCCCAGGGACUGGGAAUAACUUGCCCAGGAGGCCGCUGGAUCAUGGCUGGAGCAGACACUGCUUUGAGCACCGAGGCCUGGAGGCCAGCUGGACGGCCCCCACGUGGAUGAAGAAAUGGCCAGGGGUUUGCAGAUGGUCCACGAGGAUACAGGGAGAAGGCAGCCGGCUAGUGACCAGAAAGUGAGGCGUCACCAGAUGCCAAAUAUGCCGGCGCCUUGAUCUCGACGUCCAGCCUCCUGACUGAGA